rnacentral:rRNA from 1 species
AGUGUAGACGGUUGUGUAAGUCUGAUGUGAAAGCCCGGGGCUCAACCCCGGGACUGCAUUGGAAACUAUGUAACUAGAGUGUCGGAGAGGUAAGCGGAAUUCCUAGUGUAGCGGUGAAAUGCGUAGAUAUUAGGAGGAACACCAGUGGCGAAGGCGGCUUACUGGACGAUCACUGACGUUGAGGCUCGAAAGCGUGGGGAGCAAACA